UCGGGUUGUAAAGCACUUUUGUCCGGAAAGAAAACUUCUGCCCUAAUACGGCGGGAGGAUGACGGUACCGGAAGAAUAAGCACCGGCUAACUACGUGCCAGCAGCGCGGUAAUCGUAGGGUGCGAGCGUUAAUCGGAAUUACUGGGCGUAAAGCGUGCGCAGGCGGUUCGUUAAGACAGAUGUGAAAUCCCCGGGCUUAACCUGGGAACUGCAUUUGUGACUGGCGAGCUGGAGUAUGGCAGAGGGGGGUAGAAUUCCACGUGUAGCAGUGAAAUGCGUAGAGAUGUGGAGGAAUACCGAUGGCGAAGGCAGCCCCCUGGGCCAAUACUGACGCUCAUGCACGAAAGCGUGGGGAGCAAACAGGAUUAGAUACCCUGGUAGUCCACGCCCUAAACGAUGUCAACUAGUUGUUGGGGAUUCAUUUCCUUAGUAACGUAGCUAACGCGUGAAGUUGACCGCCUGGGGAGUACGGUCGCAAGAUUAAAACUCAAAGGAAUUGACGGGGACCCGCACAAGCGGUGGAUGAUGUGGAUUAAUUCGAUGCAACGCGAAAAACCUUACCUACCCUUGACAUGGUCGGAACCCUGCUG
rnacentral:rRNA from 1 species